rnacentral:rRNA from 1 species
GAUGAACGCUGGCGGCGUGCCUAAUACAUGCAAGUCGAGCGAACGGACGAGAAGCUUGCUUCUCUGAUGUUAGCGGCGGACGGGUGAGUAACACGUGGAUAACCUACCUAUAAGACUGGGAUAACUUCGGGAAACCGGAGCUAAUACCGGAUAAUAUUUUGAACCGCAUGGUUCAAAAGUGAAAGACGGUCUUGCUGUCACUUAUAGAUGGAUCCGCGCUGCAUUAGCUAGUUGGUAAGGUAACGGCUUACCAAGGCAACGAUGCAUAGCCGACCUGAGAGGGUGAUCGGCCACACUGGAACUGAGACACGGUCCAGACUCCUACGGGAGGCAGCAGUAGGGAAUCUUCCGCAAUGGGCGAAAGCCUGACGGAGCAACGCCGCGUGAGUGAUGAAGGUCUUCGGAUCGUAAAACUCUGUUAUUAGGGAAGAACAUAUGUGUAAGUAACUGUGCACAUCUUGACGGUACCUAAUCAGAAAGCCACGGCUAACUACGUGCCAGCAGCCGCGGUAAUACGUAGGUGGCAAGCGUUAUCCGGAAUUAUUGGGCGUAAAGCGCGCGUAGGCGGUCUUUUAAGUCUGAUGUGAAAGCCCACGGCUCAACCGUGGAGGGUCAUUGGAAACUGGAAAACUUGAGUGCAGAAGAGGGAAAGUGGAAUUCCAUGUGUAGCGGUGAAAUGCGCAGAGAUAUGGAGGAACACCAGUGGCGAAGGCGACUUUCUGGUCUGUAACUGACGCUGAUGUGCGAAAGCGUGGGGAUCAAACAGGAUUAGAUACCCUGGUAGUCCACGCCGUAAACGAUGAGUGCUAAGUGUUAGGGGGUUUCCGCCCCUUAGUGCUGCAGCUAACGCAUUAAGCACUCCGCCUGGGGAGUACGACCGCAAGGUUGAAACUCAAAGGAAUUGACGGGGACCCGCACAAGCGGUGGAGCAUGUGGUUUAAUUCGAAGCAACGCGAAGAACCUUACCAAAUCUUGACAUCCUUUGACAACUCUAGAGAUAGAGCCUUCCCCUUCGGGGGGGCAAAGUGACAGGUGGUGCAUGGUUGUCGUCAGCUCGUGUCGUGAGAUGUUGGGUUAAGUCCCGCAACGAGCGCAACCCUUAAGCUUAGUUGCCAUCAUUAAGUUGGGCACUCUAAGUUGACUGCCGGUGACAAACCGGAGGAAGGUGGGGAUGACGUCAAAUCAUCAUGCCCCUUAUGAUUUGGGCUACACACGUGCUACAAUGGACAAUACAAAGGGCAGCGAAACCGCGAGGUCAAGCAAAUCCCAUAAAGUUGUUCUCAGUUCGGAUUGUAGUCUGCAACUCGACUACAUGAAGCUGGAAUCGCUAGUAAUCGUAGAUCAGCAUGCUACGGUGAAUACGUUCCCGGGUCU